CCUACGGGUGGCAGCAGUGAGGAAUAUUGGUCAAUGGACGAGAGUCUGAACCAGCCAAGUAGCGUGAAGGAUGACUGCCCUAUGGGUUGUAAACUUCUUUUAUAUGGGAAUAAAAUGUUCCACGUGUGGGAUUUUGUAUGUACCAUAUGAAUAAGGAUCGGCUAACUCCGUGCCAGCAGCCGCGGUAAUACGGAGGAUCCGAGCGUUAUCCGGAUUUAUUGGGUUUAAAGGGUGCGUAGGUGGAUUGUUAAGUCAGUUGUGAAAGUUUGCGGCUCAACCGUAAAAUUGCAGUUGAAACUGGCAGUCUUGAGUACAGUAGAGGUGGGCGGAAUGCGUGGUGUAGCGGUGAAAUGCUUAGAUAUCACGAAGAACUCCGAUUGCGAAGGCAGUUCACUGGACUGCAACUGACACUGAGGCUCGAAAGUGUGGGUAUCAAACAGGAUUAGAUACCCUUGUAGUC
rnacentral:rRNA from 1 species